AUUGAACGCUGGCGGCAGGCCUAACACAUGCAAGUCGAGCGGAUGAAGAGAGCUUGCUCUCUGAUUCAGCGGCGGACGGGUGAGUAAUGCCUAGGAAUCUGCCUGGUAGUGGGGGACAACGUUUCGAAAGGAACGCUAAUACCGCAUACGUCCUACGGGAGAAAGUGGGGGAUCUUCGGACCUCACGCUAUCAGAUGAGCCUAGGUACGAUUAGCUAGUUGGUGAGGUAAAGGCUCACCAAGGCGACGAUCGUUAACUGGUCUGAGAGGAUGAUCAGUCACACUGGAACUGAGACACGGUCCAGACUCCUACGGGAGGCAGCAGUGGGGAAUAUUGGACAAUGGGCGAAAGCCUGAUCCAGCCAUGCCGCGUGUGUGAAGAAGGUCUUCGGAUUGUAAAGCACUUUAAGUUGGGAGGAAGGGCAGUAAGUUAAUACCUUGCUGUUUUGACGUUACCGACAGAAUAAGCACCGGCUAACUUCGUGCCAGCCGCCGCCGUAAUAC
rnacentral:rRNA from 1 species